rnacentral:rRNA from 1 species
GGUUAAGUUAGAAAGGGCGCACGGUGAAUGCCUUGGCACUAGGAGCCGAUGAAGGACGGGACUAACACCGAUAUGCUUCGGGGAGCUGUAAGUGAGCUUUGAUCCGGAGAUUUCCGAAUGGGGAAACCCACUGUUCGUAAUGGAACAGUAUCUUUAUCUGAAUACAUAGGAUAUUGAAGGCAGACCCGGGGAACUGAAACAUCUAAGUACCCGGAGGAAGAGAAAGCAAAUGCGAUUUCCUGAGUAGCGGCGAGCGAAACGGAAUUAGCCCAAACCAAGAGGCUUGCCUCUUGGGGUUGUAGGACACUCUAUACGGAGUUACAAAGGAACGAAGUAAAUGAAGCGACCUGGAAAGGUCCGUCAAAGAAGGUAACAACCCUGUAGUUGAAACUUCGUUCCCUCUUGAGUGAAUCCUGAGUACGGCGGAACACGUGAAAUUCCGUCGGAAGCUGGGAGGACCAUCUCCCAAGGCUAAAUACUACCUAGUGACCGAUAGUGAACCAGUACCGUGAGGGAAAGGUGAAAAGCACCCCGGAAGGGGAGUGAAAGAGAUCCUGAAACCGUGUGCCUACAAGUAGUCAGAGCCCGUUAACGGGUGAUGGCGUGCCUUUUGUAGAAUGAACCGGCGAGUUACGAUCCCAUGCAAGGUUAAGCUGAUAAGGCGGAGCCGUAGCGAAAGCGAGUCUGAAUAGGGCGUUUAGUAUGUGGUUGUAGACCCGAAACCAGGUGAUCUACCCAUGUCCAGGGUGAAGUUCAGGUAACACUGAAUGGAGGCCCGAACCCACGCACGUUGAAAAGUGCGGGGAUGAGGUGUGGGUAGCGGAGAAAUUCCAAUCGAACCUGGAGAUAGCUGGUUCUCUCCGAAAUAGCUUUAGGGCUAGCCUCAUGUUGUGAGAGUCUUGGAGGUAGAGCACUGAUUGGACUAGGGGCCCCCAACGGGUUACCGAAUUCAGUCAAACUCCGAAUGCCAAAGACUUAUCCAUGGGAGUCAGACUGCGAGUGAUAAGAUCCGUAGUCAAAAGGGAAACAGCCCAGACCACCAGCUAAGGUCCCCAAGUAUACGUUAAGUGGAAAAGGAUGUGGAGUUGCUUAGACAACCAGGAUGUUGGCUUAGAAGCAGCCACCAUUUAAAGAGUGCGUAAUAGCUCACUGGUCGAGUGACUCUGCGCCGAAAAUGUACCGGGGCUAAACGUAUCACCGAAGCUGUGGAUUGACAUCUUUGAUGUCAGUGGUAGGAGAGCGUUCUAAGUGCUGUGAAGUCAGACCGUAAGGACUGGUGGAGCGCUUAGAAGUGAGAAUGCCGGUAUGAGUAGCGAAAGACAAGUGAGAAUCUUGUCCACCGAAUGCCUAAGGUUUCCUGAGGAAGGCUCGUCCGCUCAGGGUUAGUCGGGACCUAAGCCGAGGCUGAAAAGCGUAGGCGAUGGCCAACAGGUUGAUAUUCCUGUACCACCUCCCCGCCGUUUGAGUAAUGGGGGGACGCAGUAGGAUAGGGUAAGCGCGCUGCUGGAUAUGCGCGUUCAAGCAGUUAGGUUGAUGAGUAGGCAAAUCCGCUCAUCAUAAAGGCUGAGCUGUGAUGACGAGGGAAUUAUAGUACCGAAGUUCCUGAUUCCACACUGCCAAGAAAAGCCUCUAGCGAGGCGGGAGGUGCCCGUACCGCAAACCGACACAGGUAGGCGAGGAGAGAAUCCUAAGGUGAUCGAGAGAACUCUCGUUAAGGAACUCGGCAAAAUGACCCCGUAACUUCGGGAGAAGGGGUGCUCUGGUAGGGUGUAUAGCCCGAGAGAGCCGCAGUGAAUAGGCCCAGGCGACUGUUUAGCAAAAACACAGGUCUCUGCGAAGCCGCAAGGCGAAGUAUAGGGGCUGACGCCUGCCCGGUGCUGGAAGGUUAAGAGGAGGGGUUAUCCUUUGGGAGAAGCUCUGAAUCGAAGCCCCAGUAAACGGCGGCCGUAACUAUAACGGUCCUAAGGUAGCGAAAUUCCUUGUCGGGUAAGUUCCGACCCGCACGAAAGGCGUAACGAUCUGGGCACUGUCUCAACGAGAGACUCGGUGAAAUUAUAGUACCUGUGAAGAUGCAGGUUACCCGCGACAGGACGGAAAGACCCCGUGGAGCUUUACUGUAGCCUGAUAUUGAAUUUUGGUACAGCUUGUACAGGAUAGGUAGGAGCCUGAGAAGCCGGAGCGCUAGCUUCGGUGGAGGCGUCGGUGGGAUACUACCCUGGCUGUAUUGAAAUUCUAACCCGCGGCCCUGAUCGGGCCGGGAGACAGUGUCAGGUGGGCAGUUUGACUGGGGCGGUCGCCUCCUAAAAUGUAACGGAGGCGCCCAAAGGUUCCCUCAGAAUGGUUGGAAAUCAUUCGUAGAGUGUAAAGGCACAAGGGAGCUUGACUGCGAGACCUACAAGUCGAGCAGGGACGAAAGUCGGGCUUAGUGAUCCGGUGGUUCCGCAUGGAAGGGCCAUCGCUCAACGGAUAAAAGCUACCCCGGGGAUAACAGGCUUAUCUCCCCCAAGAGUCCACAUCGACGGGGAGGUUUGGCACCUCGAUGUCGGCUCAUCGCAUCCUGGGGCUGUAGUCGGUCCCAAGGGUUGGGCUGUUCGCCCAUUAAAGCGGUACGCGAGCUGGGUUCAGAACGUCGUGAGACAGUUCGGUCCCUAUCCGUCGUGGGCGUAGGAAAUUUGAGAGGAGCUGUCCUUAGUACGAGAGGACCGGGAUGGACACACCGCUGGUGUACCAGUUGUCUUGCCAAAGGCAUCGCUGGGUAGCUAUGUGUGGACGGGAUAAGUGCUGAAAGCAUCUAAGCAUGAAGCCCCCCUCAAGAUGAGAUUUCCCAUAGCGCAAGCUAGUAAGAUCCCUGAAAGAUGAUCAGGUUGAUAGGUCAGAGGUGGAAGCGUGGCGACAUGUGUAGCUGACUGAUACUAAUCGAUCGAGGACUUAACCAA